rnacentral:rRNA from 1 species
UACGUAGGGGGCAAGCGUUGUCCGGAUUUAUUGGGCGUAAAGAGCGUGUAGGCGGUUAGGUAGGUCCGUUGUGAAAACUCGAGGCUCAACCUCGAGGCGCCGAUGGAAACCAUCUGACUAGAGUCCGGAAGAGGAGAGUGGAAUUCCUGGUGUAGCGGUGAAAUGCGCAGAUAUCAGGAAGAACACCCGUGGCUAAGGCGGCUCUCUAGUACGGUACUGACGCUGAGACGCGAAAGCGUGGGGAGCGAACAGG